rnacentral:lncRNA from 1 species
AGUAUUUGCAAAGCACUGAUAAAAACAUCUCUCUUCUCUCAAUCUUGCUUCCUUCUUUUCAUUUACUAAAUAGGCUUUUGAGCCUCACAAGACUUUGAGAUUUUAUGGAUAUGAAACCUGCUAUCAUUUAGCAUCCUGCCUCUGGGAAUAGGUGAGUAGUGUUACCUUUGAUAGAAGAGCUAGAUCAUUCUGUAAUGAUGAAUAAAGAUUUUCUGGGUAAUUGGAAUUCAAGGGCAGGAU